AGUGAACGCUGGCGGUAGGCCUAACACAUGCAAGUCGAGCGGCAGCACAGAGGAGCUUGCUCCUUGGGUGGCGAGUGGCGGACGGGUGAGGAAUACAUCGGAAUCUACUCUGUCGUGGGGGAUAACGUAGGGAAACUUACGCUAAUACCGCAUACGACCUACGGGUGAAAGCAGGGGACCUUCGGGCCUUGCGCGAAUGAAUGAGCCGAUGUCGGAUUAGCUAGUUGGCGGGGUAAAGGCCCACCAAGGCGACGAUCCGUAGCUGGUCUGAGAGGAUGAUCAGCCAGACUGGAACUGAGAGACGGUCCAGACUCCUACGGGAGGCAGCAGUGGGGAAUAUUGGACAAUGGGCGCAAGCCUGAUCCAGCCAUACCGCGUGGGUGAAGAAGGCCUUCGGGUUGUAAAGCCCUUUUGUUGGGAAAGAAAUCCAGCUGGCUAAUACCCGGUUGGGAUGACGGUACCCAAAGAAUAAGCACCGGCUAACUUCGUGCCAGCCGCCGCCGUAA
rnacentral:rRNA from 1 species